rnacentral:rRNA from 1 species
AACGAACGCUGGCGGCAGGCCUAACACAUGCAAGUCGAGCGAACCCUUCGGGGUUAGCGGCGGACGGGUUAGUAACGCGUGGGAAUAUACCCUUUGGUACGGAAUAGCCUCGGGAAACUGAGAGUAAUACCGUAUGUGCCCUUCGGGGAAGAUUAUCGCCAAAGGAUUAGCCCGCGUUGGAUUAGGUAGUUGGUGGGGUAAGUGGCCUACCAAGCCUACGAUCCAUAGCUGGUUUGAGAGGAUGAUCAGCAACACUGGGGACUGAGACACGGCCCAGACUCCUACGGGAGGCAGCAGUGGGGGAAUCUUAGACAAUGGGCGCAAGCCUGAUCUA